GAUCGAUCCUAAGAGGAAAAGGGGUGGAUGGGGUGAAACUUGAGAAGGGGGUUUGGUCGCCUUAAGUUUUUGAAGGAAGAGAGAGAGUUCGAGUGGGCUAAAGCAAGCUAUCUGGGAGAGAAAAAGCAAGGCGUCUGAGAGAGAAAACGAGAGAAUGCUAGUCGGAUGAGGGAGGUUUAAAGAGGGAGUCUCGAAGCUCGACUGAGUGAGGGAGAUUGAACGGGACUGAGAUGAGAAGAGAGGCACCUUUCGAGAGAGAAGAGAAAAGGUUUUUUGGGAAGAAAGAGUAGCGAACAAGGGUUAGGGAAGCUCUACUCAUCAGUCCUUUCUCUAGGUUUUCGUCAACUCCUGAAAAAAAUUCCUCUAACCAAACGCUUCAGUGGAAGAGUAGAUUCUUAUCUUCUUCAUUUCUUUACUCUGGUUACAUCUCAUCGCCGAUGGCUCCAUCCGCGUAGCCAUCCAGUUCGAACCCAAGCUGGCAUUCCGCCGCUAAAAAGAGAUCGCCAGGAGGCCGAGCUUCUCAAAGUCUCUUGCAGCAUUUUUUUGUUUCAGACUACAAGAGUUCCUUGCUAUUGACUUAAUCAGCUCGCUGCAGCUUUUCUUUUUUGGGUAAGAAUCAUGUAUUAUCUGGCAUUUGAAGAAGGAGGUUGUCUCGCUCUCUCCACACCUCAGACUUACCAAUUCAGUCCGAAGGUGGGGAUUUUUGCUCAGGUCCCUACGUCCAAAAGGAGUUGGUUUGAAGGAGGGAGGGGAAUGCUAUUUCAAUAACACCCUUCCAAUUUGCUAGAAAAUAUGGAAUCCCAAUCCACCAACUUGGUGUAUUUCUUUGUUUUACAAGCAAAAUCAAAUAAAAAAAUUAAUUACAAAGAGGGGAUUUCAGCAUUCA